rnacentral:rRNA from 1 species
GAUGAACGCUAGCUACAGGCUUAACACAUGCAAGUCGAGGGGAAACGGCAUUUAGUGCUUGCACUGAAUGGACGUCGACCGGCGCACGGGUGAGUAACGCGUAUCCAACCCACCCAUUACUGUGGGAUAACCUGCCGAAAGGCAGACUAAUACCGCAUAGUCUUCGAUGACGGCAUCAGAUUUGAAGUAAAGAUUUAUCGGUAAUGGAUGGGGAUGCGUCUGAUUAGCUUGUUGGCGGGGUAACGGCCCACCAAGGCGACGAUCAGUAGGGGUUCUGAGAGGAAGGUCCCCCACAUUGGAACUGAGACACGGUCCAAACUCCUACGGGAGGCAGCAGUGAGGAAUAUUGGUCAAUGGGCGCGAGCCUGAACCAGCCAAGUAGCGUGCAGGAUGACGGCCCUAUGGGUUGUAAACUGCUUUUGUAUGGGGAUAAAGUCAAUCACGUGUGAUUGUUUGCAGGUACCAUACGAAUAAGGACCGGCUAAUUCCGUGCCAGCAGCCGCGGUAAUACGGAAGGUCCGGGCGUUAUCCGGAUUUAUUGGGUUUAAAGGGAGCGUAGGCCGGAGAUUAAGUGUGUUGUGAAAUGUAGACGCUCAACGUCUGACUUGCAGCGCAUACUGGUUUCCUUGAGUACGCACAACGUUGGCGGAAUUCGUCGUGUAGCGGUGAAAUGCUUAGAUAUGACGAAGAACUCCGAUUGCGAAGGCAGCUGACGGGAGCGCAACUGACGCUUAAGCUCGAAGGUGCGGGUAUCGAACAGG